UCUAUUUUUAUUAUUCUUGCUCCAGGACAAUCUGGAACCUUCCAUCCUAGGACUUUUAUGCCAGGCAUCAGGACGAAGAAAGAGUACCUGAGAAGCAGAUCCCUGGUGGCCCUAGAUGGAUUUAAUAGAAAUACUCUUCUCCAUUUAGUAGCCAGGACUGUCAUGAUUACCAAACAGUUCACAAGACUGGUAAGUACAGCCUGCUUUUCUAUGUGUAAGUAUUUGCAUUUCAAAGGAAUCCACAGUUUCAAAAUUCCCUUCUAAAAACAUUCGUUUCAGUGGGGGAAAUGGAAUUAAGUCUGAAACAGUUGAGACUUGCAAUAGCAAAUUUAUGUUUGCUGUGGGAAUUUCAAUAAUAAAGGUUUUAUUGGAGCUUUAAGUGUAUAGGUAUAAAAUAGGCUUCCUGAUGACAAAUUCAGGGUUUGAUUACAUGGAACAUUUGUUCAGGAGCAGCAGAUUUUUUUUUUUUCCUUUAUCACCAACAGCUAAAGCUGAAGCUCCAGUACUUUGGCCACCUCAUGCGAAGAGUUGACUCAUUGGAAAAGACUCUGAUGCUGGAAGGGAUUGGGGACAGGAGGAGAAGGGGAUGACAGAGGAUGAGAUGGCUGGAUGGCAUCACGGACUUGAUGGAUGUGAGUUUGAGUGAACUCCGGGAGAUGGUGAUGGACAGGGAGACAGGGCGUGCUGCAAUUCAUGGGGUUGCAAAGAGUCAGACACGACUGAGCGACUGAACUGAAUGGCUUUUCUUUUCCUUAUCACCAACAUCUCUAUCAUUAGAACAAACCUUACACAGUCUUAUCAAUUUUUAUCACUUUUAUCAGCCACUGGUAGGAUAAACAGUAUUUAAAGGCAUCCCAACCAAGUUGGU
rnacentral:lncRNA from 1 species